UACGAGGGGGGCUAGCGUUGCUCGGAAUCACUGGGCGUAAAGGGUGCGUAGGCGGGUUUUUAAGUCAGGGGUGAAAUCCUGGAGCUCAACUCCAGAACUGCCUUUGAUACUGAAGAUCUUGAGUCCGGGAGAGGUGAGUGGAACUGCGAGUGUAGAGGUGAAAUUCGUAGAUAUUCGCAAGAACACCAGUGGCGAAGGCGGCCCACUGGCCCGGUACUGACGCUGAGGUGCGAAAGCGUGGGGAGCAAACAGG
rnacentral:rRNA from 1 species